rnacentral:tRNA from 1 species
UGGCUCAGUUGUUAGAGCGCUCCACUGGAGAUGGAGAGGUCCCUGGUUCGAUACCAGG